GUGAGUAGUUCAGAGUUUGAUCCUGGCUCAGGAUGAACGCUGGCGGCGUGCCUAACACAUGCAAGUCGAACGAAGCACUUCGAUUUCUUCGGAAUGAAAAAGUGACUGAGUGGCGGACGGGUGAGUAACGCGUGGGUAACCUGCCUCAUACAGGGGGAUAACAGUUAGAAAUGACUGCUAAUACCGCAUAAGCGCACAGUAUCGCAUGAUACAGUGUGAAAAACUCCGGUGGUAUGAGAUGGACCCGCGUCUGAUUAGCUAGUUGGUGAGGUAAUGGCUCACCAAGGCGACGAUCAGUAGCCGGCCUGAGAGGGUGAUCGGCCACAUUGGGACUGAGACACGGCCCAA
rnacentral:rRNA from 1 species